CGAACGCUGGCGGCGUGCUUAACACAUGCAAGUCGAACGAGGAUUGAGGUGCUUGCACUUCAAAGCCGAGUGGCGGACGGGUGAGUAACACGUGAUCAACCUACCUUCAGGUGGGGGACAACCCGGGGAAACCUGGGCUAAUACCGCAUAAAGUUCAUUUUUCGCAUGAAAGCUGAACCAAAGGUGGCCUCUGCUUGCAAGCCAUCACCUGAAGAGGGGGUCGCGGCGUAUCAGCUUGUUGGUGAGGUAAUGGCUCACCAAGGCUACGACGCGUAGCGGGUCUGAGAGGACGACCCGUCACAUUGGGACUGAGAUACGGCCCAGACUCCUACGGGAGGCAGCAGUGGGGAAUUUUGCGCAAUGGUCGAAAGACUGACGCAGCGACGCCGCGUGUGGGAGGAAGCCUUUCGGGGUGUAAACCACUGUCAGGGGGGAAGAACUCCCGUCUAGUGAAUAGCUAGGUGGGUUGACGGUACCCCCAGAGGAAGCGCCGGCUAACUCC
rnacentral:rRNA from 1 species